rfam:Gossypium raimondii Chr05_contig_940, whole genome shotgun sequence.
GCAGAUGUAGCCAAGUGGAUCAAUGCAGUGGAUUGUGAAUCCACCAUGGGCGGGUUCAAUUCUCGUCUUUCACC